rnacentral:rRNA from 1 species
AUCGAACGCUGGCGGCAUGCCUAACACAUGCAAGUCGAACGAGUGGCGGACGGGUGAGUAAUGUCUGGGAAACUGCCUCUUGGAUGGGGAUCACCACUGGAAACGGUAGCUUAUACCGCAUACCAUCGGAUGUGCCCAGAUGGGAUUAGCUUGUAGGCGGGGUAAAGGCUCACAUAGGCGACGAUCCCUAGCUGUUCGGAGAGGAGGACCAGCCACACGGGAACGGGAAAAGGGUCCAGACUCCUACGGGAGGCAGAAGUGGGGAAUAUUGCACAAGGGGCGAAAGCCUGAUGCAGCAAUGCCGCGGGUAUGAAGAAGGCCUUCGGGUUGUAAAGUACGUUCAGCGGGGAGGCGUUACCCGAAGAAGAAGCAACGGCUAACUACGUGCCAGCAGCCGCGGUAAUAC